GUUCUUGCUUCAUCAGCACAUAUAUUAAACUUGGAAUGAUACAGACAAGAAUAGUAUGUCCCGUGCAAAAAGAAAAUGCAGAUUUGAGGUGUUCUAUAAAUUUUA